rnacentral:rRNA from 1 species
GACGAACGCUGGCGGCGUGCUUAACACAUGCAAGUCGAACGGAAAGGCCCUGCUUUUGUGGGGUGCUCGAGUGGCGAACGGGUGAGUAACACGUGAGUAACCUGCCCUUGACUUUGGGAUAACUUCAGGAAACUGGGGCUCAUACCGGAUAGGAGCUCCUGCUGCAUGGUGGGGGUUGGAAAGUUUCGGCGGUUGGGGAUGGACUCGCGGCUUAUCAGCUUGUUGGUGGGGUAGUGGUUUACCAAGGCUUUGACGGGUAGCCGGCCUGAGAGGGUGACCGGGGACAUUGGGACUGAGAUACGGACCAGACUCGUACGGGAGGCAGCAGGGGGGAAUAUGGCACAAUGGGGGGAAGCCUGAUGCAGCAACGCCGCGUGCGGGAUGACGGCCUUCGGGUUGAAAACCGCUUUCGCCUGUGACGAAGCGUGAGUGACGGUAAUGGGUAAAGAAGCACCGGCUAACUACGUG